rnacentral:hammerhead_ribozyme from 1 species
AUCCAACUGACGAGUCCCAAAUAGGACGAAACAUGCAU